rnacentral:rRNA from 1 species
CCCUCGGGAAACUGAGAUAAUACUCCAUAGAUCUAGACUGCUGGAAUGCUUUUAGAUUGAAAGAUUUAUCGCCUAAGGAUAAGUCUGCGGACUAUCAGGUUGUAGUCAGGGUAACUACCUGACUAGCCUACGACGGAUACGGGUAGUGAGAGCUUUAGCCCGGAGAUGAUAUCUGAGACACGAUAUCAGGCCCUACGGGGCGCAGCAGGCGCGAAAACUUCGCACUGUGCGAAAGCACGACGAGGGAAUCCCAAGUGCUGGCUCGUAAGAGUCAGCUGUUUCUCUGUCUAAAAAACAGAGAGAGUAAGGGCUGGGUAAGACGGGUGCCAGCCGCCGCGGUAAUACCUGCAGCUCAAGUGGUGGCCGCUAUUAUUGGGCCUAAAACGUCCGUAGCCGGUUCUAUAAAUGCCUGGGUAAAUCGUACGGCUUAACCGUACGAAUUCCGGGUAGACUGUUUAACUUGGGACCGGGAGAGGCUAGAGGUACUCCUGGGGUAGAGGUGAAAUUCUGUAAUCCUAGGGGGACCACCAGUGGCGAAGGCGUCUAGCUAGAACGGGUCUGACGGUGAGGGACGAAGCCCUGGGGAGCAAACGGGAUUAGAUACCCCGGUAGUCCAGGGUGUAAACGCUGCUCGCUUGAUGUUAGUCGGGCUCCGAGCCCAACUAGUGUCGGAGAGAAGUU